rnacentral:rRNA from 1 species
UACGAAGGGUGCAAGCGUUAAUCGGAAUUACUGGCCGUAAAGGGUGCGUAGGCGGUUCGUUAAGUCUGUCGUGAAAUCCCCGGGCUCAACCUGGGAAUGGCGAUGGAUACUGGCGAGCUAGAGUGUGUCAGAGGAUGGUGGAAUUCCCGGUGUAGCGGUGAAAUGCGUAGAGAUCGGGAGGAACAUCAGUGGCGAAGGCGGCCAUCUGGGACAACACUGACGCUGAAGCACGAAAGCGUGGGGAGCAAACAGG